rnacentral:rRNA from 1 species
AUUGAACGCUGGCGGCAGGCCUAACACAUGCAAGUCGAGCGAGCGGCGGACGGGUGAGUAAUGUCUGGGAAACUGCCUGAUGGAGGGGGAUAACUACUGGAAACGGUAGCUAAUACCGCAUACCAUCAGAUGUGCCCAGAUGGGAUUAGCUAGUAGGUGGGGUAAAGGCUCACCUAGGCGACGAUCCCUAGCUGGUCUGAGAGGAUGACCAGGCAAAAUGGGACCGAGACACGGUCCAGACUCCUACGGGGAGCAGCAGGGGGGAAUAUUUCACAAUUGGCGCAAGCCUGAUGGAGCCAUGCCGCGUGUGUGAAGAAGGCCUUCGGGUUGUAAAGCACUUUCAGCGAGGAGGCGUUACUCGCAGAAGAAGCACCGGCUAACUCCGUGCCAGCAGCCGCGGUAAUAC